CAAUACUCUGAUCAAUAAAUGCAUACCUAGGCAUACCUAGGCAGCCAUGGUGACAAAGCACGAUGUCUUUCCUUCAGAUAUUUGAUGCUGAAUAGAAUGCAUGAAACAUCAGCUAAAUUUGUGCAUCUUCCAUUCAGUGGGAAAAAGAAGAAAAAGUCUGAGGCUGGAUAUCCACACCAUCCAGAGAGAGAAUGUCCAAAAGGUGGAUUAGCACUCUGACACUAUGAAUAUUUUAGAAAGGUGGAAGUAUUACAGAGGGAACUAUCAGAAGUUAAAAUGCCAGGUCCUGGAUUUGUUCAGCUGGGCAGCUGGCCACGCUGCAGAAAGAGCUGAUGUUAUCUGACCCGGAUCGCUCAUGGAAGGAAUGCCAGCCUCCCCAGAAGGUCGCGGAGGAGAGAGCGAGGAUUGAAGGGAAGGAGAACAAAGAAGAUCACCAAGAUUGUGCCCGAGCUACUCAAUAAAAACCAAAGCCAGGUGGCAUUGACUGGGUUGUAUGCGCCCUGUUUGGGGAUAACUCCCUGUAGAGUUACAUAGCAUUUUGUUUUGUCUCUCUUUUGGGCAUCAUAGGGUACCCUCCUGGCCUCGUGACAUCAUUAGUAUUUUUCUGUGUCAUUUUCUUCUGUUCAAAGAUCUGAAAAAACUGGGGGGGCUUUGUUGCUGCCAGUUACCAAAAUGUUUCUGUAGCACGAAAUUGAAAGUAUGUGUUACAUGUCUGGA